rnacentral:rRNA from 1 species
AUACCCUGGUAGUCCACGCCGUAAACGAUGAGUACUAGGUGUCGGAGGUUACCCCCUUCGGUGCCGCAGCUAACGCAUUAAGUACUCCGCCUGGGGAGUACGUUCGCAAGAAUGAAACUCAAAGGAAUUGACGGGGACCCGCACAAGUAGCGGAGCAUGUGGUUUAAUUCGAAGCAACGCGAAGAACCUUACCUAAGCUUGACAUCCUUUUGACCGAUGCCUAAUCGCAUCUUUCCCUUCGGGGACAGAAGUGACAGGUGGUGCAUGGUUGUCGUCAGCUCGUGUCGUGAGAUGUUGGGUUAAGUCCCGCAACGAGCGCAACCCUUGCCUUUAGUUGCCAGCAUUAAGUUGGGCACUCUAGAGGGACUGCCAGGGAUAACCUGGAGGAAGGUGGGGAUGACGUCAAAUCAUCAUGCCCCUUAUGCUUAGGGCUACACACGUGCUACAAUGGGUGGUACAGAGGGCAGCCAAGUCGUGAGGCGGAGCUAAUCCCUUAAAGCCAUUCUCAGUUCGGAUUGUAGGCUGAAACUCGCCUACAUGAAGCUGGAGUUGCUAGUAAUCGCAGAUCAGAAUGCUGCGGUGAAUACGUUCCCGGGUCUUGUACACACCGCCCGUCACACCACGGGAGUUGGGGGCGCCCGAAGCCGGAUUGCUAACCUUUUGGAAGCGUCCGUCGAAGGUGAAAUCGAUAACGGGGGUGAAGUCGUAACAAGUUAGCCGUAUCGGAAGGUGCGGCUG